rnacentral:rRNA from 1 species
GCCAGCAGCCAUAUCACCCUGCAGCUCUCUACUGGCAACCCACUGAAGCUAACCAGGGUUGAACCUGGUCAGUAUCUGGAUGGAAGAGACUUCCUGGGAAGCUAUGGUUGCUGCUGGAA